rnacentral:rRNA from 1 species
UGAAAUCUGGCCCUCGGGUCCGAGUUGUAAUUUGUAGAGGAUGCUUUUGGUGCGGUACCUUCCGAGUUCCCUGGAACGGGACGCCAUAGAGGGUGAGAGCCCCGUCUGGUUGGAUACCAAUCCUCUGUAAAGCUCCUUCGACGAGUCGAGUAGUUUGGGAAUGCUGCUCUAAAUGGGAGGUAUAUGUCUUCUAAAGCUAAAUACCGGCCAGAGACCGAUAGCGCACAAGUAGAGUGAUCGAAAGAUGAAAAGCACUUUGAAAAGAGGGUUAAACAGUACGUGAAAUUGUUGAAAGGGAAGCGCUUGUGACCAGACUUGGGCCCGGUUAAUCAUCCAGCGUUCUCGCUGGUGCACUUGGCCGGCCCAGGCCAGCAUCAGUUCGGCGCGGGGGAUAAAGACUUUGGGAAUGUGGCUCCUCCGGGAGUGUUAUAGCCCACUGUGUAAUACCCUGCGCUGGACUGAGGUUCGCGCAUCUGCAAGGAU